rnacentral:pre_miRNA from 1 species
AAAAAGACAAACCCUGGUUUCCGUGCCCAACAUUUGACCGUCCAUCUUAUUAAAAAAUUAUGAAAAAAAAUUAAAAAGACAAGUCACGCAUAAAAUAUUAAUCAUGUUUUAUCAUCUAACAACAAUGAAAAUACGAAUUAUAAAAAAAUUUCAUAUAAGACAGACAGUUAAAGUUGGACACAGAAACCCAGGGUUUGCCUUUUU